UACGUAGGGCGCAAGCGUUAUCCGGAAUUAUUGGGCGCAAAGAGCUCGUAGGCGGUUUGUCGCGUCUGCCGUGAAAGUCCGGGGCUCAACUCCGGAUCUGCGGUGGGUACGGGCAGACUAGAGUGAUGUAGGGGAGACUGGAAUUCCUGGUGUAGCGGUGAAAUGCGCAGAUAUCAGGAGGAACACCGAUGGCGAAGGCAGGUCUCUGGGCAUUAACUGACGCUGAGGAGCGAAAGCAUGGGGAGCGAACAGG
rnacentral:rRNA from 1 species